rnacentral:rRNA from 1 species
AAACUUACCAGGUCAAGACAUGGGCGUGAUUGACAGGCUAAUGACUUUUCUCGAUUCCAUGGAUGGUGGUGCAUGGUCGCACUUAGUUGGUGCAGUGAUUUGUCAGGUUUAUUCCGGUAACGAACGAGACCUCGGCCUUGUAAAUAGCUAUGCUGCUUACAGGGACAUUGGCGGCUACGCCAAGAAAGCUCGAGGCAAUUGCAGAUCUGGAAUGCCCUUAGAUGUCCUGGGUCGCACGCGUGCUACAAUGACGCCACGAACGAGCUUGCGUGAUGAAAGUUACGCAUAAUCAGCAGUCGGCGUCUUAAGGGAUAGUCUCUUGUAACUGUGGGACUCCAACUAGGAAUGUCUCGUAAGCACAAGUCAACAUCUUGUGUUGAUUACGUCCCUGCUCUUUGUACACACCGCCCGUCGCUCCUACCGAUCGAGUGUUUAGGUGAAUUUGAUGGACGUAAGGAAGUCAAAUAAACCUGAGCACUAGAGAAGAGAAGUCUAGCAUC